AAAUUGAAGAGUUUGAUCAUGGCUCAGAUUGAACGCUGGCGGCAGGCCUAACACAUGCAAGUCGAACGGUAACAGGAAGCAGCUUGCUGCUUCGCUGACGAGUGGCGGACGGGUGAGUAAUGUCUGGGAAACUGCCUGAUGGAGGGGGAUAACUACUGGAAACGGUGGCUAAUACCGCAUAACGUCGCAAGACCAAAGAGGGGGACCUUCGGGCCUCUUGCCAUCAGAUGUGCCCAGAUGGGAUUAGCUUGUUGGUGAGGUAACGGCUCACCAAGGCGACGAUCCCUAGCUGGUCUGAGAGGAUGACCAGCCACACUGGAACUGAGACACGGUCCAGACUCCUACGGGAGGCAGCAGUGGGGAAUAUUGCACAAUGGGCGCAAGCCUGAUGCAGCCAUGCCGCGUGUAUGAAGAAGGCCUUCGGGUUGUAAAGUACUUUCAGCGGGGAGGAAGGUGUUGUGGUUAAUAACCGCAGCAAUUGACGUUACCCGCAGAAGAAGCACCGGCUAACUCCGUGCCAGCAGCCGCGGUAAUACGGAGGGUGCAAGCGUUAAUCGGAAUUACUGGGCGUAAAGCGCACGCAGGCGGUCUGUCAAGUCGGAUGUGAAAUCCCCGGGCUCAACCUGGGAACUGCAUUCGAAACUGGCAGGCUUGAGUCUUGUAGAGGGGGGUAGAAUUCCAGGU
rnacentral:rRNA from 1 species